rnacentral:rRNA from 1 species
UACAGAGGGUGCGAGCGUUAAUCGGAAUUACUGGGCGUAAAGCGUGCGUAGACGGUUAUUUAAGUCGGAUGUGAAAGCCCCGGGCUCAACCUGGGAAUUGCAUUCGAGACUGAAUAGCUAGGGUACGGUAGAGGGAAGUGGAAUUUCCGGUGUAGCGGUGAAAUGCGUAGAUAUGGGGAGGAACACCGGUGGCGAAGGCGGCCAUCUGGACGGUAACUGACGCUGAGACGCGAAAGCGUGGGGAGCAAACAGG